rnacentral:rRNA from 1 species
UCAAGCUACUAAGGGCAUACGGCGGAUGCCUAGGCGCCAUCAGCCGAUGAAGGACGCGGUAAGCUGCGAAAAGCUACGGGGAACUGCAAGCAAGUAUUGAUCCGUAGAUGUCCGAAUGGGGAAACCCACCUGCCGUCAUGGGCAGGUAUCCGAAAGGAAGGGAACCCGGGGAACUGAAACAUCUAAGUACCCGGAGGAAGAGAAAUCAAACGAGAUGCCCACAGUAGCGGCGAGCGAAGAGGGCAGAGGGCAAACCGAGGAGCUACGGCUCUUCGGGGUUGAGGACUGCAUUUAGUCUCAAUGGUUUAUCCGAACUACCUGGAAAGGUAGGCAAAACAGUGUAAAAGCCACGUAGGUUAAAGGCCAGAGAGAUGAGCAGUAUCCAGAGUACCACGAGGCACGAGGAAUCUUGUGGGAAGCCGGGGGGACCACCCUCCAACCCUAAACACUGAAUGGCGACCGAUAGCGCAUAGUACCGUGAGGGAAAGGUGAAAAGAACCCCGGGAGGGGAGUGAAAGAGAACCUGAAACCGUAUGUCUACAAGCAGUCGGAGCGAAAGCGACGGCGUGCCUAUUGAAGAAUGAACCAACGAGUUACGUGCACUAGCGAGGUUAAGUGGAAGACACGGAGCCGAAGCGAAAGCGAGUCUUAAGAGGGCGGAUAGUUAGUGUACGUAGACCCGAAACCGCAGUGAUCUACCCAUGUCCAGGUUGAAGCGCAGGUAAAAUUGCGUGGAGGACCGAACCUGUGAGCGUUGAAAAGCUUUAGGAUGAGAUGUGGGUAGAGGUGAAAUUCCAAUCGAACGCGGAGAUAGCUGGUUCUCCCCGAAAUAGCUUUAGGGCUAGCCUCAAGUAGUAAGUAUAGGCGGUAGAGCACUGAUCGGGCUAGGGGCCAUAAAGGUUACCGAACCCUGUCAAACUCCGAAUGGUUAUACUGUAGAGCUUGGGAGUCAGACUACGAGUGAUAAGAUCCGUGGUCAAAAGGGAAACAGCCCAGACCACCAGCUAAGGUCCCCAAUGUCGUACUAAGUGGAAAAGGAUGUGGGGUCUCUAAAACAACCAGGAUGUUGGCUUAGAAGCAGCCACCAUUUAAAGAGUGCGUAAUAGCUCACUGGUCGAGAGACCCUGCGCCGAAGAUUACCGGGGCUAAAGUACGAAACCGAAGCUGUGGCUACGACGUAAGUCGUGGGGUAGGGGAGCGUUCUGUGAGGGCUGAAGUCGUUCUGUAAGGAACGGUGGACUUCACAGAAGUGAGAAUGUUGGUAUGAGUAGCGAAAAGAAUGGUGAGAAUCCAUUCCACCGAAAGCAUAAGGAUUCCUGGGCAACGAUCGUCGUCCCAGGGUAAGUCGGGACCUAAUCCGAGGCAUGGAGCGUAGGAGAUGGACAACUGGCAGAUAUUCCAGUACCGGUAAUGAUUGUUUGAGCGAUGGAGUGACACAGGAGGGCAGGCAGGCAGGAGAUUGGUUGUUCCUGUACAAGCGUGUAGGAUGGGUUGCAGGCAAAUCCGCAACCUGUGAGUCUGAGGCGUGAUGUGGAGGUUCCGGAAACGGAACUGAAGCUGCUGACCCCACACUGUCGAGAAAAGCUUCUAGUUAGAGAAUUACCGCCCGUACCGUAAACCGACACAGGUAUGCGGGGAGAGAAUCCUAAGGUGCGCGGGAGAACCCUCGUUAAGGAACUCGGCAAAAUGUACCCGUAACUUCGGGAUAAGGGUAGCCGCUGUUGUGAAGUCUGCACAGACGGAGCAUGAGGCGGUCGCAGAGAAGAGGCCCAAGCGACUGUUUACCACAAACACAGGUGCCUGCUAAAGAGAAAUCUGACGUAUAGGUGCUGACACCUGCCCAGUGCCGGAAGGUUAAGGAAGGAUGUCCGGAGCAAUCCAAAGCAUUCGACCGAAGCCCCGGUGAACGGCGGCCGUAACUAUAACGGUCCUAAGGUAGCGAAAUUCCUUGUCGGGUAAGUUCCGACCCGCACGAAAGGUGUAACGAUUUGGGCACUGUCUCAACGAGGGACCCGGUGAAAUUGAAGUACCUGUGAAGAUGCAGGUUACCCGCGACUGGACAGAAAGACCCCAUGGAGCUUUACUGUAACCUGACAUUGGGUUCUGAUACAUCACGUACAGGAUAGGUGGGAGGCAUGGAAGCGAGGACGCUAGUCUUCGUGGAGCCGCCGUUGGGAUACCACCCUUGAUGUAUCGGAAUUCUAACCGUAGGAGUAACGAAACUCGGGACAGUGUCAGGCGGGCAGUUUGACUGGGGCGGUCGCCUCCCAAAGAGUAACGGAGGCGCCCAAAG